rnacentral:rRNA from 1 species
UACGUAGGGGGCGAAUGUUACUCGGAAUUACUGGGCGUAAAGGGCCUGUAGGCGGUCAUACAAGUUAGCUGUUAAAGACCUAUGCUAAACGUAGGGAGAGCAGCUAAUACUGUAUAGCUAGAGUACAGCAAGGGAUGGUGGAAUUCCCGGUGUAGGGGUGAAAUCUGUAGAGAUCGGGAGGAAUACCGAUGGCGAAGGCGACCAUCUAGGCUGAUACUGACGCUGAGGCGCGAAAGCCAGGGGAGCAAACGGG